rnacentral:misc_RNA from 1 species
GAAAUGCGAUAAGUAAUGUGAAUUGCAGAAUUCAGUGAAUCAUCGAAUCUUUGAACGCACAUUGCGCCCGCCAGCACUCUGGCGGGCAUGCCUGUUCGAGCGUCAUUUCAACCCUCAGAACCCCUUGCGGGAUCUGGCGUUGGGGAUUGGCAUCCAGCCAGCCCCGAAAUCUAGUGGCGGUCCCUCCGCGACCUCCCCUGUGCAGUAGCGAUACCUCGCAGCGGGACAGCGGUCUGACCACGCCGUAAAACCCCCAACUUCUGAAGGUUGACCUCGAAUCAGGUAGGAAUACCCGCUGAACUUAAGC